CAACAAAUUCAAUUUUUGCAAGUUUCAACCAAUCACUGGAGAAGCGGAUCUUUUGUUUAUUGCCUUUGAAAAGACACAUUUCCACGAUAAACUUAUCAUUGAAAUGCUCUAAUGUAUUUAAAAUAGGGUCUUGAUAUUACAUUUUAUAUGAAAUAAAGAAGGAACUAAUUUGGUAGUAUGUAACCUGUUUACAUUUUCAAAACGAAGCUCUUUACUUCCGCAUUUUGCCAAACCUAAAUUUUCGUGUGUAAAACUGGUAAAUGAUAGAUUGUGGACUUAAUGGAACGUAUUGUACGAUUUAAAUCAAUAGGAAAUAGCUUUUGACAAAAGAGAAGUGAACACCUGACCGUGAACAAACGUUGGGUGUGCUAAUAAUGAUAGUGAUAUUGGAUGACCUCAAUUCGGAUAGUGUCAUUAUGCGCCAAAAUUGAAUACGAUAUCGAAAAAGAUGCCUUGUUAUAUGCUGUAUGUCAUUUUCUCGAUCGAAAUUUUGUAUGUUGUGCUAAAAUUUCGGUUGGAAAAAAUAUGGCAAGGUAUUUGUAAUCCACCUAUAAUCAAACGAGGAUAUGACAGAAAAAACAACAGAACUUUGUUAUUUGCCUUUGAAAGACACAUUUCCAACCUAAACUUAUCAUUGAAAUGCUUUAAAGUACUUAAAAUGGGGUCUUGAUAUUACAUUUUAUAUGAAAUAAAGAAGGAACUAAUUUGGUAGUAUGUAACCUGUUUACAUUUUCAAAACGAGUCUCUUUACAUCCGCAUUUUGCCAAACCUAAAUUUUCGUGUAUAAAACUGAUAUAUGAUAGAAUGUGGACUUAACGGAACGUUUUGUGCGAUUUAAAUCAAUAGGAAAUAACUUUUGUCAAAAGACAAGUGAACAUCUGACCAUGAACAAACGUUAGAUUUGCAAAUAAUGAUAGUGAUAUUGGAUGACCUCAAUUCGGAUAGUGUCAUUUUGCGCCAAAAUUGAAUAUGAUAUCGAGAAAGAUGCCUUGUUAUAUGUUGUAUGUCAUUUUCUCGACAGGAAAUUUUGUAUGUUGCGCUAAAAUUUCGGUUGGAAAAAAUAUGGCAAGGUAUUUGUAAUCUACAAAUAAUCAAACGAGGAUUUGACAGAGUAAACAAUAGAAGUUUGUUACGGGGAAUGUCACGGAAUACAUUUUGGACUCCUAGGCUAUGGAACAGUCGCUUGUUUUAGAAUAAAUUUGGAUCACUAUGGUAAAUUCAUUAUUAUGACAAAAAGUCAGCGUGUGAUGUUUGAUCUUUAUCAUUGAAACAGAGCAAAGGACAAUAUUAACGAGACUGAGGACAGACUGCCUACGGUUGUGUGCGACAGUUAUGGAGGAGGGAAUAGAUAGAAAAUAAAUAAGCUAGAGGUUACAGUUCUGAUACAUAUAGAAUAGUGACAUUCAGUACAGCUUCGCGUCCACAUGUCUUUUGAAUACAGUACAUGCAUGCCGUUGAGAAAUUAUACGAGAACAAACAUCAUUGUUAACAGCACACCUUGCGAAUAGCGUUUGAAUAUACUUCCUGAGGCCCAGACGGGAGGAACACUCAGAAUGACAGCUUUUACUGGACAUGAUACGUAUCAAUUUUGACAUAUCCAUGUAACAUUGACAAAAGAGGAUAUACUAACUCUCUCUUACGAUCGACCAAACACUGUUUUUACUAAAACCUACUUGCAUUACAGAGUCGCAUUUUGUUUGGGUUAGGGAACACUAAAACUCAAACGUUCACAAACACGCAUUACUACAAGUGCGAGAAAAAAUAUAAUAAUAUAUAAUUUUGAGCCUUGUUUUCGGAGAAGGAUAGGGUAAACAAAUUACAUUUAAAUGGCACUUCACUGCAUGUUCUGUUCAAUCAGUUGUUUAUACGAUAAAAAUAAGUAAAAUAACGGUUUCGUGAGUAUCAUGUAACAAUGUAUAACAAUGUAUCUGUA
rnacentral:lncRNA from 1 species